rnacentral:lncRNA from 1 species
GUUGCCAUGGCAAUAAUCUGCAAUUGUGCAGAAAAUCCACAGAACUCGUGAGCAACUCCUUAGUGGAUUGGGCUGAAAGAAAAUCAAACCCGUGAAAGCCCUGAAUUGAUGUGGUUAUGAAAGCGCAUUGGCCAAGCUGGCUUUCCUUCCUCUGACCCCCAUCUAACUAUGGUGAACGCCCUCGUGGUUCAAGAUGGGGGGCCCCUGUUAUUGCAUCUUCACACAUGAUGUCCAAAGCAGGAAGACAGGAAGAGAAGCAAAAAGGGAUUUCUUCUUUGGCUACUAUCUCUUUUAUUGAGCAGGAUAAACCUGCCUCAGCAGACUGCUCCUAUGUUUCACUGACUGUGAGUCACAUGAUUCAUACCUACACAAGUCACUAGGAAAGAGCAGUAGAGAUGCCACAGUUGCCUUAGCCUGGCUGGAUUUGUUCCCUCAGGCUGGACCCAGAACCACCUGAUAAAACUCAGGAUUUAACAAACUAAGAAGGAUGCCAGCUCCAGGAAUGGGCUUAAGGAAACCUAUCUAUUUGCUUAAGGAUUGAGCUUGCCGUCCUGAUCCAGCCAACUCACCAACUGUGCUCCUUCCAUUCCAGUAUUCUCUCCCAGGAAAAAAUUUUUCUUCUACUAUGGUUCUGGCUUUGUGAUCUGUGUACAUUUAAUCAUUCGUGCAGAGCUUUAAAAUUUAUAGUGUGCUUCCAUGCUUUUAUUUUUUUCUACACUAGUCCCACAGGUCUAAGAAAGUCAAGGACUUGAUAUUUACCAUUCAUUGGCUCUACACAAAUGGGGAUCUGCACUCAGAAGCCACAGAAAAAGAAGAAAAUGCAGUUCACCACCUCCCAGCAGUCCUGGUGGUGUAGGAGGAUGCGCCGAGGCCAAUCUUUGAUGGCUGCUGGUUACUUCCUCAUGAGCAGUGUUAGGCUGGGGACAGCAGGCCGGAAAGGAGUGCUUGGAGAGUGUCUUGACCUUCACAGAUGUCUUGCAAAAGGAAGUCAGUAUAUUGCGUAUCUGUGAUCGAAUGGCACACAUCUGUGAAUAGACAGCCACAUCUCUGCUGCCAGAAUACAGCUGCUGAGGUGUUUGGGGCUUACUUGGAGAAAUGAGGACAUUGAUCUGGGUGAAUGGUAGUAGCUGUACACAUACAAAGUACUGUUCACUUCUUUGCUAAGGUUUUAUGUACACUCUGAGGAUAUCAGAGAAUUCGGAGAAAAUCCAUGGCACAGAUUGGAUGCAUAAUACAUGUACGUACUUCCUGGGGCUUAGGGAGUUCCCAGAAUGUGGGUCUUUUGGUUUUAACGCCAACAGAGUUCCAGGAAAACCGUCAUGAAUUGGUCACCCUAGGGACCUGUUUCUCACACCGAAGUUCAUGAAAAAGCCAACCCCAUAAGGAGCCAAUCUUAGGAGCCCUAAGCAAGUGCUGCCAGUUACAGAGACAGCUGGGAUGAGGCUCCCAGGCUCCUGAUAGCAGGUAGAGGAGAGAACGAGACCGCAAAGAGGGAAGCCGAGAGGAGUGAUGAAGACCCUGGCCCUACCAUCUACUCAGGCUGUCUUUGCAGCCACACUGUGAGCCCAGGCUGGUUAACGCUUCCUCCUGGAGGAGAAAAGCUAAGAGAGAAAACAAAAUCCAUGCAGCGCGCUCCCCCUCGGCCCCUCCUCUCUGUCUCCUCUGUGCGCUAACCUCCAAUGCCCUGCGGGAACCAAUUACAGUAUUCUAAUGAGUGU